GAAUGCUGACAUAAGUAACGAUAAAGCGGGUGAAAAGCCCGCUCGCCGGAAGACCAAGGGUUCCUGUCCAACGUUAAUCGGGGCAGGGUGAGUCGACCCCUAAGGCGAGGCCGAAAGGCGUAGUCGAUGGGAAACGGGUUAAUAUUCCCGUACUUGGUGUUACUGCGAAGGGGGGACGGAGAAGGCUAUGUUGGCCGGGCGACGGUUGUCCCGGUUUAAGCGUGUAGGUGUGUGUUCCAGGUAAAUCCGGUUCACUUUAACACUGAGGCGUGAUGACGAGGCACUACGGUGCUGAAGCAACAAAUGCCCUGCUUCCAGGAAAAGCCUCUAAGCAUCAGGUAACAUCAAAUCGUACCCCAAACCGACACAGGUGGUCAGGUAGAGAAUACCAAGGCGCUUGAGAGAACUCGGGUGAAGGAACUAGGCAAAAUGGUGCCGUAACUUCGGGAGAAGGCACGCUGACACGUAGGUGAAGUGAUUUACUCAUGGAGCUGAAGUCAGUCGAAGAUACCAGCUGGCUGCAACUGUUUAUUAAAAACACAGCACUGUGCAAACACGAAAGUGGACGUAUACGGUGUGACGCCUGCCCGGUGCCGGAAGGUUAAUUGAUGGGGUCAGCGCAAGCGAAGCUCCUGAUCGAAGCCCCGGUAAACGGCGGCCGUAACUAUAACGGUCCUAAGGUAGCGAAAUUCCUUGUCGGGUAAGUUCCGACCUGCACGAAUGGCGUAAUGAUGGCCAGGCUGUCUCCACCCGAGACUCAGUGAAAUUGAACUCGCUGUGAAGAUGCAGUGUACCCGCGGCAAGACGGAAAGACCCCGUGAACCUUUACUAUAGCUUGACACUGAACAUUGAGCCUUGAUGUGUAGGAUAGGUGGGAGGCUUUGAAGUGUGGACGCCAGUCUGCAUGGAGCCGACCUUGAAAUACCACCCUUUAAUGUUUGAUGUUCUAACGUGGACCCGUAAUCCGGGUUGCGGACAGUGUCUGGUGGGUAGUUUGACUGGGGCGGUCUCCUCCUAAAGAGUAACGGAGGAGCACGAAGGUUGGCUAAUCCUGGUCGGACAUCAGGAGGUUAGUGCAAUGGCAUAAGCCAGCUUGACUGCGAGCGUGACGGCGCGAGCAGGUGCGAAAGCAGGUCAUAGUGAUCCGGUGGUUCUGAAUGGAAGGGCCAUCGCUCAACGGAUAAAAGGUACUCCGGGGAUAACAGGCUGAUACCGCCCAAGAGUUCAUAUCGACGGCGGUGUUUGGCACCUCGAUGUCGGCUCAUCACAUCCUGGGGCUGAAGUAGGUCCCAAGGGUAUGGCUGUUCGCCAUUUAAAGUGGUACGCGAGCUGGGUUUAGAACGUCGUGAGACAGUUCGGUCCCUAUCUGCCGUGGGCGCUGGAGAACUGAGGGGGGCUGCUCCUAGUACGAGAGGACCGGAGUGGACGCAUCACUGGUGUUCGGGUUGUCAUGCCAAUGGCACUGCCCGGUAGCUAAAUGCGGAAGAGAUAAGUGCUGAAAGCAUCUAAGCACGAAACUUGCCCCGAGAUGAGUUCUCCCUGAGACUUAAAGUCUCCUGAAGGAACGUUGAAGACGACGACGUUGAUAGGCCGGGUGUGUAAGCGCAGCGAUGCGUUGAGCUAACCGG
rnacentral:rRNA from 1 species